GGGAGGUGAUGAGUGGUCAUUACUCGCACAUAAACAUGCGAGAUGGGGUGUCCGUCCAAAGCCUGUUACGACAAUUGGGCACCUUUAAUGUUAAACCAUCUGAUCCC
rnacentral:snoRNA from 1 species